CGCGAAAACUUUACAAUGCAGGCAACUGUGAUAAGGGAACCCCGAGUGCCCGUAUGGACGGGCUGUUCAGGUGCUUAAAAACCACCUGGAGAAAGGGCCGGGCAAGACCGGUGCCAGCCGCCGCGGUAAUACCGGCGGCUCGAGUGGUGGCCACUAUUACUGGGCUUAAAGCGUCCGUAGCUUGGUCGUUAAGCCUCUGGGGAAAUCUUCCGGCUCAACCGGAAGGCGUCUCAGGGGAACUGGCGGCCUAGGGAUCGGGAGAGGUGAGAGGUACUCUGGGGGUAGGAGUGAAAUCCUGUAAUCCUCAGGGGACAACCUGUGGCGAAGGCGUCUCACCAGAACGACUCCGACAGUGAGGGACGAAAGCUGGGGGAGCAAACCG
rnacentral:rRNA from 1 species